rnacentral:rRNA from 1 species
ACUCCUACGGGAGGCAGCAGUGGGGAAUAUUGGACAAUGGGCGAAAGCCUGAUCCAGCCAUGCCGCGUGUGUGAAGAAGGUCUUCGGAUUGUAAAGCACUUUAAGUUGGGAGGAAGGGCCGUUACCUAAUACGUGAUGGUUUUGACGUUACCGACAGAAUAAGCACCGGCUAACUCUGUGCCAGCAGCCGCGGUAAUACAGAGGGGUGCAAGCGUUAAUCGGAAUUACUGGGCGUAAAGCGCGCGUAGGUGGUUUGUUAAGUUGGAUGUGAAAUCCCCGGGGCUCAACCUGGGAACUGCAUUCAAAACUGACUGACUAGAGUAUGGUAGAGGGUGGUGGAAUUUCCUGUGUAGCGGUGAAAUGCGUAGAUAUAGGAAGGAACACCAGUGGCGAAGGCGACCACCUGGACUGAUACUGACACUGAGGUGCGAAAGCGUGGGGAGCAAACAGGAUUAGAUA